UUCAGCGGGGCUAUCUGCAGUCGAGCGGACAGAAGGGAGCUUGCUCCCGGAUGUUAGCGGCGGACGGGUGAGUAACACGUGGGUAACCUGCCUGUAAGACUGGGAUAACUCCGGGAAACCGGAGCUAAUACCGGAUAGUUCCUUGAACCGCAUGGUUCAAGGAUGAAAGACGGUUUCGGCUGUCACUUACAGAUGGACCCGCGGCGCAUUAGCUAGUUGGUGAGGUAAUGGCUCACCAAGGCGACGAUGCGUAGCCGACCUGAGAGGGUGAUCGGCCACACUGGGACUGAGACACGGCCCAGACUCCUACGGGAGGCAGCAGUAGGGAAUCUUCCGCAAUGGACGAAAGUCUGACGGAGCAACGCCGCGUGAGUGAUGAAGGUUUUCGGAUCGUAAAGCUCUGUUGUUAGGGAAGAACAAGUGCGAGAGUAACUGCUCGCACCUUGACGGUACCUAACCAGAAAGCCACGGCUAACUACGUGCCAGCAGCCCGGGGNUAAUACG
rnacentral:rRNA from 1 species